CACAGCUUGCUCAGCUCACAGUUACGCCCAUGGUGGUUCUCAGGAGAAUCUGGGCUUCAGGGAACACAGUUUAUGUGAACUCCCAGCUGACAGAGCUCCUAACGCAAUGAUUAGCAUGAAAGAGAGGCUGAGUAUGUCAUUGUUUAAGAGUGUUGAAAAGGGCAAAGUAUAGCCUCUCGGCUCUCUCAUUUUUUGUUUUUUUUUUUGAGAGAAGAUAUUACUAGGCCAUACCACACAUCAUCAUCCUUCUUGAGGUGGAUGUUGAGGGUUGUUUACUUGGCUCAGGCUUAGUCACAAGUUCAGAACAUUCUGUGGGUUUUACUGGAACUCGAUAUCAUGGCUCAUCCAGGCUCAGAUCACUCCAGCUAAGGCUGCCAGGGACGUCCCCCAGGGCAAUGGUUAGGAUUCCCAGGCUCCAAGAGAGGAAGCAGGCCUUUUGCUUCUCCUUCAGCCCAACAGGUAUAUGUCCUCCUCCCAAAUGAUCUAGUGCUGCAAAGCUGGAAGGGCCCUUGGCAGGUGCACUCAGGGCCCCAUGAGGGAGACCUUCUCAGGCUGCGAAGCUUAGAAAGACAGCUACUUGGGAUUCGUAGAAGUAUCCCCACUCCCUGGAAGUCAAGACACACUCUAUGAGACGCUACCCGAUUUUCCCCUCUGCUCUCAAGAAGAGACAACUUUAAAGCGCAGUUGAAGAAAUUAACCUGGGUGAGCCCACAGAGUGGAACAUUUGAUGAGCAGGAAGCAUGCGUCCUCAAUGGUCAAUGCCCAUCAUUUUGGAACCAUUAGGAACCACAAUAGUCACCUUGUGCUCAUUCAGAGGAAAGCUGGAAAGCAAAUGCUGGCAGGCUGAAGAUGGCAGAAUCCCAAGAUUGUGGAGCCAGCCCAGGAAGUAUCCGACUACCACAAGUGUUCUAGGUUUGGAAAUUGAUGAAUCAUCUUACUGUGCUGGCAGCAUUCAAACUAACUGUGUGCUUGACACAUGGCGGAAAAGUUGGCUCUUUGAAAUUCGAGCUGAGUACAGAUCAUGUCACCUGCCCAACGCGUGACCUGUUCCACUUGACAUCUGACCCCCUGUGCCCAACGUCACCUGGAGCCUGAAAUCUGGAAGCAGAAAGUCCUUGACUGGAGUCAGCGGAGAGAAAAUCAUCACCUGCUUGGGCACAAACAUGCCUGGUGACUGCGUCACUGUUUGUUAAGUGGGAUCAGCUAAUAGUUGCACAGCGGGCCUUCAAAGCCCCAUGGUGGGGCGGAUGAAGUUUUGUAAAUGCAUUCCCUGUGCGGAGGCUUGGACUUUGAAUCUCAAGUACACUGGGAGCGUCUGAGCUUGCAACAGGCUCUCUGGUGGACUCUGUGUGGUAAAUGCAGUGACCAAGAACUCACUUCAUUUCUAGCACCCUUUGCCUGGUUCUCUCUCCUCCAGCCGCACUCCUGCCACAGGGUUUUUGCACUUGCUUCAUGGACACCCUCCCUCCGGACAACUAUGUAGCUUGUGGCUAGGUUUCCAUUAGCCACCUACCUACAAAUCCCCUCCUUUGAGACGUUCUGGACUGCUCUCUUUCUCCUUACCCUGCCUGAUUGUUUUUUUAUACCAACUGAAUCUAUUUAUUUACUUGAUUAGUAGUCUGUGGCGUGUCUUCUCCACCAGAACCUAAGUUCCCUGAGGGCAGAAGUCACAUCUCUUUGGUCCACUGCUCUGGCCCUUGUUCCUACAUAGUAAAAGAAAUUUCUUGAAUAAAUGAAUGUGUGAAGGAACGGUUUCACUUCAUUUUACAAGUGGAAAAACCAAGAAACAGAGAAAGGAAACAAACUAGCCGAGGUCAGCAGCUCUUUAGCGGCAGAGUUAGUAGUAACACCGAUUUCCUAACUCACAACCCAGUUUGUUUUCUUCCCAUAUGACGCUGUUCUUCAAAUAUUUGGCAAGAAAGUCGCCCCUUGACUCAUGAUUUGUUCAUCUAUUUUUAACCAUUUCAGGUCUGUGGAGAUAACUAGAACCUCAUUAGGGAUAAAUGCUUAUUAACUAAGUUCUUAUUGAAUAUCUGUCUUAUAACUCUUUCAAAGGCCAAGGUGAUUGAAAGUUAUUUAAGCUAUUAUAUUUUUAAAACAUAUUUAAUACAGUGAUGAUAAGCAUUUAUUGUAUAAAUAUGGAUAUUCAUUAAGUAGAUGUAUUAUAUAUAUAUUUAAUAAUUGGAAUCAUGCUGUAUGCAAAGUUUUUAUGUUACAGUUUAGACAUGUUCUGAUGUCAUUAAAACUAACAUGGUUUUAGGGACUGCAUAUAUUCCAGUAUCUGGGUAUGUCAUAUUUCACUUAACCAUUGUCCCACUAUUGGUCAACAUUAUUUCCAUUCUUUUCAUUAUUGGGUUUAUAGUUUUUAGUUCUUUUAUAUUUCUAAGUUCAGAAUAUAUAUAUUCUUAACAUUCCAUAUCUGUCAAAACUAUACAGAGAAUGAA